rnacentral:rRNA from 1 species
GACCACAGCCAUAUCCCCCUGCAGCCCAAGACUGGUUGCCCACUGAAGCUAAGCAGGAUUGAGCCUGGUCAGUACCUGGAUGGGAGACCUCCUGGGAAAACUAGGUUGCUGUUGGAA